UACGUAGGAGGCGAGCGUUGUCCGGAAUUACUGGGCGUAAAGAGCGCGUAGGCGGCACGGUACGACCGGUGUGAAAGCCCCCGGCUCAACUGGGGAGGGUCACCGGUAACGGUCGAGCUAUGAGUGCAGGAGAGGGAAGUGGAACUCCGGGAGUAGCGGUGAAAUGCGUAGAGAUCGGAAAGAACACCAACGGCGAAAGCACUCUGCUGGGCCGACACUGACACUGAGAGACGAGAGCUAGGGGAGCGAAUGGG
rnacentral:rRNA from 1 species